CAUAUCAAUAAGCGGAGGAAAAGAAACUAACAAGGAUUCCCCUAGUAACUGCGAGUGAAGCGGGAAAAGCUCAAAUUUAAAAUCUGUCAGUCUUUGGCUGUCCGAGUUGUAAUCUAGAGAAGCAUUAUCCGCGCUGGACCGUGUACAAGUCUCCUGGAAUGGAGUGUCAUAGAGGGUGAGAAUCCCGUCUUUGACACGGACUGCCAGGGCUUUGUGAUGUGCUCUCAAAGAGUCGAGUUGUUUGGGAAUGCAGCUCAAAAUGGGUGGUAAAUUCCAUCUAAAGCUAAAUAUUGGCGAGAGACCGAUAGCGAACAAGUACCGUGAGGGAAAGAUGAAAAGAACUUUGGAAAGAGAGUUAAACAGUAUGUGAAAUUGCUGAAAGGGAAACGUUUGAAGUCAGUCGCGUUGUCCAGGGAUCAACCUUGCUUUUGCUUGGUGUACUUUCUGGUUGACGGGUCAGCAUCAAUUUCGACUGUUGGAAAAAGGUCAGGGGAAUGUGGCAUCUUCGGAUGUGUUAUAGCCCUUGGUUGUAUACAAUGGUUGGGAUUGAGGAGCUCAGCACGCCGCAAGGCCGGGUAACUUGUUACUACGUACGUGCUUAGGAUGCUGGCAUAAUGGCUUUAAUCGACCCGUCUUGAAACACGGACCAAGGAGUCUAACAUGCCUGCGAGUGUUUGGGUGGAAAACCCGAGCGCGUAAUGAAAGUGAAAGUUGAGAUCCUUGUCGUGGGGAGCAUCGACGCCCGGACCAGACCUUUUGUGACGGUUCCGCGGUAGAGCAUGUAUGUUGGGACCCGAAAGAUGGUGAACUAUGCCUGAAUAGGGUGAAGCCAGAGGAAACUCUGGUGGAGGCUCGUAGCGAUUCUGACGUGCAAAUCGAUCGUCAAAUUUGGGUAUAGGGGGCGAAAGACUAAUCGAACCAUCUAGUA
rnacentral:rRNA from 1 species